CUUGGAUGUAGGGCAGUAUUCAUUUGACAGCUGCUCCCUCUCUGUAUAGAAAUUGAUUCUGGAGUCCAAUUCCAGGGCAAGGAGCAGGGAGGAACCAAAGACUGUGACCUUUAUUUCUCAUUUGUUUCUCCAGGAGGUAGGCCUUGCAAAAGGUUGACUCUCUUCCCUGCAAGCUGGCACUCUGUAGUCACUUAAAAUAGAAAUGUCAAGUGUUUUCUGUUUUCUUUCCAUCUCACUGCCCCGUCGGCCUUUUGUGGUCUAAUCAUCUAUGAGGUCUGGAUACCAAAUGGGGCGACCAGGAGUGGACAUUCCAGGACAGUUAACUAUCUGGGGGCUGGGUAUCAAAGGGACGGUUCUUCACCUCCCUGGUCACUGUAGUACUCCCGGGAAUCUAGGUUUCCCUGCUUGUAAUUCUGCCAAGAGACAAUCUGAUAGAAGUUAGAGCUGAGGAGGCAGGUGAAAUUACACUGCAGCGCGUUAGUGGAUUCUAUCUGAACUGCUACAUCCUGCUCCAGGGUAAACCCACAUUGUACAGUGGCCUGAUUUGAAAAGUGACUCUCCAACUUUUUUUUUAAAUUCCAUUAGUCCCUCUUAUUUGACUUUUUAGAUCCUGAAUCUCACCUCUGCUUUUGACUUUGGGGUUUCACAGGAGAGAAAACGGGGGGCAUAACACACAAACUGCUUUACAGAAUUGCAAACGCUGUGGUGCUAUGGUUGCUUCCGAAGAAUCUUUCCACGACUCUGAAGGCCGGGAAGCACACGCCAACUGCAGCCAACUGCAACAUCACAGCCUUGCAAUGAAGUAAAAGUCCCUCAAAUUCCACCGGCCCGCAGGGCGCUCUAGAUACUGUCAGCUCCGGGCCGCUGGCGAGCCCAGCGCGCGCAGCGGGUGACAACCGUCUUUAUUUGGGCUGGGACACCCAGAGGCCUACAAAUAAACACUCGUGGCAUCAGGAUCGGCAGCCCUCUGGCCCAGGGCUCAGCCACGACGAACCCGGGCCAAGGACUCUUUGUUGGACACAACCUUUAUUUCUGACGAGGGACCGCAGGCAAGGGGCAAACCAGGACAGAGAGGGAAAAUAACAAAACAAAAAACCCGUGAGGACGUGAGGGAAAGAGACGGACGGCCAGGACUUGGAGGCAGGCGCCGGCCCCUCGACUCCCCCACAGAGGGAUGCCCCCUUUGAUGCCACUUGCUGGGUGCACACCCCGGACACUCCUCGCCUUGGGGAACACUUCGAGGAAGAUCUCACCUCGGUGAUGCUGGUCUCUUCUGAGCCACAGUUGAUUCUUCAGCCCCAGCAGAUCAUCGUCCAUUGUCCCAGCAAAGCAGAGGUGAAGCGUGACCCUAACUAGUCUUCUUAAAUAAAAACCCGGAGUCAGAUCUGGGGUAAAAACUGAGAGAUCAGAGAAGCAGAGCAGCAGCCACUAGAGACUUGUUACCUCUACAAAUCCUCAGACCAAAUGGGGAGCCGAGAUCUGUCUCCACCUCCCGAGUGCUGGGAUUAAAGGUGUGAGCCACCAC